AUGGCCAAAUGCUUCAAUAGGGUGCUCAAAGGUGCACGUGGAUUACCCGUGACGGCAAUAGUUCAAUACACAUUUGACAAGAUGAAUGCGUACUUUGUAAAGUACUCGAUGGAAACGGAUGCACAGAUAGCGGGUGAGAACCCGCGCAAGUACAAGUUCCCACCCAAGGUUGAUGAAUGGUUGGUAUUUCAAUCACGGAAGGCGGACUCAGAAGAAGCUAUAUUAUAUGACAACGAAGAGUGGAAGUACGAAGUGAAAGAGCCAGGAGGAGCCACAAACGAUGGCCGGCAACAUGGAGGUCGGGCUUUCAAGGUGUUGUUAACACAAUGUGAUUGCACUUGCGGGAGGCCAUUGUUGCUUCAUCUCCCAUGCUCACACUUGUAUACCGCCGGUCGCGUUAGGAAUGUGGGCAUCAAUCACCCACGCACUGUGAGGGAGUCGGAGUUCUCAAUCAUGACGGUCAAGAAAACAUGGGCUCCCCGCUUUCACCCGCACUUUGACCAAUCACAAUGGCCAGAGUAUCAUGGAGUUAAACUAUGGUCGGAUCCGGAGUUGAAGGUUGUUAAAUGGGGUAGACGUAAGACAAAGCGUCUUAGAGGCGACAUGGACGGAUGGGGCCAUGGUGGCCGCCACGAAGCGGGCAACGACCAAUUCCAAGAGCCUUGUGAGAGCUCCCGUUGUGGGGAGUGCAAAGGUCAUGGCCACAACAAAAGAAAAUGUACGAAACCAAGGAAAAGGUCCAAGAAAAAGAUGCAAGCACAAGACAACAAGGAGCUACACAAGGGAGCCAACCAAGUGGUAGCCAACAAGUGCCAAGCCAACCAAGAGGUAGCCAACAAGUGCGAAGGCAACCACGUGGUAGCCAACCUAGUGGUAGCCAACAAGUGCCAAGGCAACCAAGUGGUAGCCAACAAGUGCCAAGCCAACCAAGUGGUAGCCAACCUAGUGGUAGCCAACAAGUGCCAAGGCAACCAAGUGGUAGCCAACAAGUGCCAAGCCAACCAAGUGUUAGCCAAAGAGGAUCUAGGCAACAAAGAGGUCGGCAACUAG
rnacentral:rRNA from 1 species